CCUAUACAUGCAGUCGAGCGGACAGAAGGGAGCUUGCUCCCGGAUGUUAGCGGCGGACGGGUGAGUAACACGUGGGUAACCUGCCUGUAAGACUGGGAUAACUCCGGGAAACCGGAGCUAAUACCGGAUAGUUCCUUGAACCGCAUGGUUCAAGGAUGAAAGACGGUUUCGGCUGUCACUUACAGAUGGACCCGCGGCGCAUUAGCUAGUUGGUGGGGUAAUGGCUCACCAAGGCGACGAUGCGUAGCCGACCUGAGAGGGUGAUCGGCCACACUGGGACUGAGACACGGCCCAGACUCCUACGGGAGGCAGCAGUAGGGAAUCUUCCGCAAUGGACGAAAGUCUGACGGAGCAACGCCGCGUGAGUGAUGAAGGUUUUCGGAUCGUAAAGCUCUGUUGUUAGGGAAGAACAAGUGCGAGAGUAACUGCUCGCACCUUGACGGUACCUAACCAGAAAGCCACGGCUAACUACGUGCCAGCAGCCGCGGUAAUACGUAGGUGGCAAGCGUUGUCCGGAAUUAUUGGGCGUAAAGGGCUCGCAGGCGGUUUCUUAAGUCUGAUGUGAAAGCCCCCGGCUCAACCGGGGAGGGUCAUUGGAAACUGGGAAACUUGAGUGCAGAAGAGGAGAGUGGAAUUCCACGUGUAGCGGUGAAAUGCGUAGAGAUGUGGAGGAACACCAGUGGCGAAGGCGACUCUCUGGUCUGUAACUGACGCUGAGGAGCGAAAGCGUGGGGAGCGAACAGGAUUAGAUACCCUGGUAGUCCACGCCGUAAACGAUGAGUGCUAAGUGUUAGGGGGUUUCCGCCCCUUAGUGCUGCAGCUAACGCAUUAAGCACUCCGCCUGGGGAGUACGGUCGCAAGACUGAAACUCAAAGGAAUNGACGNGGGCCCGCACAAGCGGUUGAAGCAUG
rnacentral:rRNA from 1 species